rnacentral:rRNA from 2 species
UGGGGGAUAUUGCGCAAUGGGGGCAACCCUGACGCAGCAACGCCGCGUGAAGGAUGAAGGUUUUCGGAUUGUAAACUUCUUUUAUUAAGGACGAAACUUGACGGUACUUAAUGAAUAAGCUCCGGCUAACUACGUGCCAGCAGCCGCGGUAAUACGUAGGGAGCAAGCGUUGUCCGGAUUUACUGGGUGUAAAGGGUGCGUAGGCGGCUUUGCAAGUCAGAUGUGAAAUCUAUGGGCCCAACCCAUAAACUGCAUUUGAAACUGUAGAGCUUGAGUGAAGUAGAGGCAGGCGGAAUUCCCCGUGUAGCGGUGAAAUGCGUAGAGAUGGGGAGGAACACCAGUGGCGAAGGCGGCCUGCUGGGCUUUAACUGACGCUGAGGCACGAAAGCGUGGGUAGCAAACAGGAUUAGAUACCCUGGUAGUCCACGCUGUAAACGAUGAUUACUAGGUGUGGGGGGUCUGACCCCUUCCGUGCCGGAGUUAACACAAUAAGUAAUCCACCUGGGGAGUACGGCCGCAAGGUUGAAACUCAAAGGAAUUGACGGGGGCCCGCACAAGCAGUGGAGUAUGUGGUUUAAUUCGAAGCAACGCGAAGAACCUUACCAGGUCUUGACAUCCAACUAACGAAGUAGAGAUACAUUAGGUGCCCUUCGGGGAAAGUUGAGACAGGUGGUGCAUGGUUGUCGUCAGCUCGUGUCGUGAGAUGUUGGGUUAAGUCCCGCAACGAGCGCAACCCUUGCUAUUAGUUGCUACGCAAGAGCACUCUAAUAGGACUGCCGUUGACAAAACGGAGGAAGGUGGGGACGACGUCAAAUCAUCAUGCCCCUUAUGACCUGGGCUACACACGUACUACAAUGGAUGUUAACAGAGGGAAGCAAGACAGCGAUGUGGAGCAAACCCCUAAAAACAUUCUCAGUUCAGAUUGCAGGCUGCAACCCGCCUGCAUGAAGAUGGAAUUGCUAGUAAUCGCGGAUCAGCAUGCCGCGGUGAAUACGUUCCC